AGAUUGAACGCUGGCGGCAUGCCUUACACAUGCAAGUCGAACGGCAGCACGGGGGCAACCCUGGUGGCGAGUGGCGAACGGGUGAGUAACAUAUCGGAACGUGCCCUGGAGUGGGGGAUAACUAGUCGAAAGAUUAGCUAAUACCGCAUACGAUCUACGGAUGAAAGUGGGGGAUCGCAAGACCUCAUGCUCGUGGAGCGGCCGAUAUCAGAUUAGCUAGUUGGUGAGGCAAAGGCUCACCAAGGCGACGAUCUGUAGCUGGUUUGAGAGGACGACCAGCCACACUGGGACUGAGACACGGCCCAGACUCCUACGGGAGGCAGCAGUGGGAAUUUGGACAAGUGGGGGAAACCCUGAUCCAGCCAUCCCGCGUGUCGCGAUGAAGCCGUUCGGUGUAAGCUACGUUUGGACGUAGGAAGAAACGGACGUACGACCCUAAG
rnacentral:rRNA from 1 species